GGAAGAUGAAAUGGAGAAAGACUAAAAGCAAAUGAUAAAGGAAGCUUUUGCUGGGGAUGAUAUCAUCAAAGAGUUCCUAAAAGAGAAGAGAAAAACUAUCCAGGCCAAUAAGCCAAAGGACAUGGAUCCGACUUUGCCUGGCUGGGGAUAGUGGGACAGCAUGAACCUGAAGCCCGGAACCAAGAAAAGACACAGUAUUUGGCUUUCAAGAUUUCUUAUUAAGGACCCUGAAGAUCCUCCAAGAAAAGAUAAGAAUUUGCCCAAUGUGCUUGUUAGUGAGAAGUACAACAUUAACAUUACAGCACACCAGGUAAGGUUUAGAGAGCUCUCUACUUGUCUGAUCUCCAUCGCUAGCUUCCCUUGAAAGAAC
rnacentral:lncRNA from 1 species